AUAUGGUUUCAUUUGAAAAUACAAACACACUAAGAAUUAUCUGAAUUCGAAAAACUUUCACAGAACCAAAUUUCUUAAGGUUUCUAUUACCCAAUCUCAUACUAUCAAAAUGGCUUGUGGAUGUGGUUCUUCUUGUGCCUCUAACUGCAGCUGUGGAUGCAAGUCUGCUGCUAAGGAAAACCUCGAGGGAGGAUGCAAGUGUGGAGACAGCUGCUCAUGCACCGAUUGCAAGUGUUAAUGAAGAAAUGAUGAAGAUAAGGGAUAUUUUCCAUGUCGAAGAUCCUUGACAUCAUUUUACUACGGCGUGGUUUGUAUGUGUCUUUGAUGUUAGAAUAAAGUAGCUAUCGUUAGCAAUACUUGAGCUCAAGUGUUGUUAUGGCUACACAGUGUUUUUAUGUGCAAAACAGGAAAAAGGAAUUGUUUUGUGUAAAAGUGGUAAUGGGAGAUGUUUCACUCCUGUUGAUUUCUUUACGUCUACCUCUUUGUUUGGAGGAUUUGAAUUUUUAUCAAUCUUUUCUCUUUUCACUCCCCUAAUUGAUAAUAAACAGCUUAACUUUUAUAGUAAA